rnacentral:tRNA from 1 species
GCCUGGGUGGCUCAGUCGGUUGAGCGUCUGACUUUGGCUCAGGUCUUGAUCUCACAGUCUGUGAGUUCAAGCCCCGCAUCGGGCU